UACGUAGGGUGCAAGCGUUGUCCGGAAUUAUUGGGCGUAAAGAGCUCGUAGGCGGUUUGUCGCGUCUGCUGUGAAAAUCCGAGGCUCAACCUCGGACUUGCAGUGGGUACGGGCAGACUAGAGUGUGGUAGGGGAGACUGGAAUUCCUGGUGUAGCGGUGGAAUGCGCAGAUAUCAGGAGGAACACCGAUGGCGAAGGCAGGUCUCUGGGCCACUACUGACGCUGAGAAGCGAAAGCAUGGGGAGCGAACAGG
rnacentral:rRNA from 1 species